CAGGCCUCCUGACCGCGAGCCUGGAGCCGCCGUACGGAGACGACGCCCGAGAACCCGCCACCCGAACUGUGGCUGUGCCCCGAUGAGGCUUCACCGCGUUCCCGCGCAGGCGCCCUGCGGACAGCCCGGCCCGGCGGCCAUCAUGGCGCCGCAGGCGUAGCAGAGGCCUUUAUAGGCUGAAGGACCCAGAAGAAGGCACUUCCGCUUCCGGGGCGGGGCCAAGGGGCGCGGACGCGGAAGUGACUCGACCUGGACUCGGAAGCCUGAGCCUGCUUGUUGCCUAGGGUUUACUGGGGCGAGCUAUAAGCAAGUAAUCCUUGGGCUGGCACCACAGGCUCAGUCUUGCAUAUACUGGCCAGCUCUUUCUCACAGCUCCUAGAGACGGACAUCAGACGUGCAUUCCGUGGCCGUCGGACACCAUGGAGCUUAUUGCUCCGAAGCCCACAGGAGAGCUUCUCCCAAUCCUGCUGCUGCUUCUGCU